CCUACGGGAGGCAGCAGUGGGGGAUAUUGGACAAUGGGGGGAACCCUGAUCCAGCGACGCCGCGUGAGUGAAGAAGUAUUUCGGUAUGUAAAGCUCUGUCAGCAGGGAAGAAAGAAAUGACGGUACCUGACCAAGAAGCCCCGGCUAACUACGUGCCAGCAGCCGCGGUAAUACGAAGGGGGCAAGCGUUAUCCGGAAUUACUGGGUGUAAAGGGGGCGUAGACGGUUAAGUAAGUCUGGAGUGAAAGGCCGGGGCCCAACCCCGGGACUGCUCUGGAAACUAUUGAACUUGAGUGCAGGAGAGGUAAGCGGAAUUCCUAGUGUAGCGGUGAAAUGCGUAGAUAUUAGGAGGAACACCAGUGGCGAAGGCGGCUUACUGGACUGUAACUGACGUUGAGGCUCGAAAGCGUGGGGAGCAAACAGGAUUAGAUACCCUAGUAGUC
rnacentral:rRNA from 1 species